rnacentral:rRNA from 1 species
UACGUAGGGUGCGAGCGUUGUCCGGAAUUAUUGGGCGUAAAGAGCUCGUAGGCGGUUUGUCGCGUUGUUCGUGAAAACUCACAGCUUAACUGUGGGCGUGCGGGCGAUACGGGCAGACUUGAGUACUGCAGGGGAGACUGGAAUUCCUGGUGUAGCGGUGGAAUGCGCAGAUAUCAGGAGGAACACCGGUGGCGAAGGCGGGUCUCUGGGCAGUAACUGACGCUGAGGAGCGAAAGCGUGGGGAGCGAACAGG